rnacentral:rRNA from 1 species
AGCGAACGCUGGCGGCAGGCUUAACACAUGCAAGUCGAGCGCCGUAGCAAUACGGAGCGGCAGACGGGUGAGUAACACGUGGGAACGUGCCUUUCGGUUCGGAACAACCCAGGGAAACUUGGGCUAAUACCGGAUACGCCCUUACGGGGAAAGAUUUAUCGCCGAAAGAUCGGCCCGCGUCUGAUUAGCUUGUUGGUGAGGUAACGGCUCACCAAGGCGACGAUCAGUAGCUGGUCUGAGAGGAUGAUCAGCCACACUGGGACUGAGACAUGGCCCAGACUCCUACGGGAGGCAGCAGUGGGGAAUCUUGGACAAUGGGCGCAAGCCUGAUCCAGCCAUGCCGCGUGAGUGAUGAAGGCCUUAGGGUUGUAAAGCUCUUUCGGCGGGGAAGAUAAUGACGGUACCCGCAGAAGAAGCCCCGGCUAACUUCGUGCCAGCCGCCGCCGUAAGAC